AAGAAAGGUAGAACCUACGGGAUAGGGGUUGUCCAAUCCUCGAGUAGUUUUCCAAUUCCUCUUUUACUUUACAAACUAUGGAAGAAAUGGAAGCGAUGAAAAAGCAAAUUGUGAAAUUGACACAAAAAUAUGCAGCUAACGAUGCUAAGUUUGCUAAAUUUGAUAAAUUGUAGGAGUUGGUUAAGAAGCACAUGCCACAAGUAUUUCAG
rnacentral:lncRNA from 1 species